ACGGGAGGCAGCAGUGGGGAAUAUUGGGCAAUGGACGCAAGUCUGACCCAGCAACGCCGCGUGAAGGCAGAAGGCUUUCGGGUUGUACACUUCUUUUAAGGGGGAAGAGUAGAAGACGGUACCCCUCGAAUAAGCCACGGCUAACUCCGUGCCAGCAGCCGCGGUAAUACGUAGGUGGCAAGCGUUGUCCGGAUUUACUGGGUGUAAAGGGCGUGUAGCCGGGUCUGCAAGUCAGAUGUGAAAUCCAUGGGCUUAACCCAUGAACUGCAUGUGAAACUGUAGGUCUUGAGUGCUGGAGGGGCAAUCGGAAUUCCUAGUGUACCGGUGAAAUGCGUAGAUAUUAGGAGGAACACCAGUGGCGAAGGCGGAUUGCUGGACAGUAACUGACGGUGAGGCGCGAAAGCGUGGGGAGCAAACAGGAUUAGAUCCCCUGGUA
rnacentral:rRNA from 1 species